UACAGAGGUCCCGAGCGUUGUUCGGAUUCACUGGGCGUAAAGGGUGCGUAGGUGGUCGUGUAAGUCUGACGUGAAAUCUCCGAGCUUAACUCGGAAAUGGCGUUGGAUACUAUUCGGCUGGAGGGUUGGAAGGGGGACUGGAAUUCUCGGUGUAGCAGUGAAAUGCGUAGAUAUCGAGAGGAACACCGGUGGCGAAGGCGAGUCCCUGGACAAUUCCUGACACUGAGGCACGAAAGCUAGGGGAGCAAACAGG
rnacentral:rRNA from 1 species